GCGCGCUGACGCUAAAACACAGGGGCAGUCCGCUGAAACUGGAUAACAGCUCGAGCGCUUGAGGAGUGCAGACGGAAGAGAAGAGGAGCCACGGCAACAUUGUAACAUGAAGGAGAGACGAAGAAACAAGACGACGUCAAAACGACCGAAAUCCGCAAGAAAAAUGGCAACACUGUGUCCAGAUCUACAUACAGAAUAUUUGAGACGAGUUAUGGAUCCAUCAUGAAGCAGUGAAUUAUUGAAAACUCAAUGAAAGACAACAAGUCAAGAGGAGCUUUGCCUGGGCAGGGAGUUUCCAGUGCUGGACCGUAGUAACAAUUAGCCAGUAUGUGAACUGCAAGGCUUCAGCAGGAAUCCAGAAAAACCUGAAGACUACUCUACCCCAUACAACUGGAGAUUCACGAGGAGACGGAAGGAGAAGGAGGCGAAUAUUAUUUUUUCCCUUUUUCCUUUUCUUAUCUUUUGUGCUGAUUGCAAUUUGGAAUGUCAGAUGUUUUGCUUUUGCUUGUAAUUGUUGAUGUGGCUGCAUCAAUAAUGUGAUUUUAAAAUGGAGUUGAACUGUCCUUUUGCUGUGAUUGAGUUUUAAUUUGAUUUAUUUAAAACGUUCAGUGUCUUCUCAUUCAAGGAAAGUAAAUGUUAUGUAUAAUUUCAAAUUCGAAUGUAAUUUUGAUAAAUAAAAUAGUAAAUUAUUGAA